UGGGGAAUAUUGGACAAUGGGCGCAAGCCUGAUCCAGCCAUGCCGCGUGAGUGAUGAAGGCCUUAGGGUUGUAAAGCUCUUUCAGUGGGGAAGAUAAUGACGGUACCCACAGAAGAAGCCCCGGCUAACUUCGUGCCAGCAGCCGCGGUAAUACGAAGGGGGCUAGCGUUGUUCGGAUUUACUGGGCGUAAAGCGCACGUAGGCGGAUUGUUAAGUCAGGGGUGAAAUCCUGGAGCUCAACUCCAGAACUGCCUUUGAUACUGGCAAUCUCGAGUCCGGAAGAGGUAAGUGGAACUCCUAGUGUAGAGGUGGAAUUCGUAGAUAUUAGGAAGAACACCAGUGGCGAAGGCGGCUUACUGGUCCGGAACUGACGCUGAGGUGCGAAAGCGUGGGGAGCAAACAGG
rnacentral:rRNA from 1 species